AGGCAACGUCAUUCCCAGGUGGGACUUGGAAGGCUGAAGUUUGCUACAUCCUUCCAGCCAUGACGCACUCCCUCAAACACAGGCAGUGAGGCCGUCCGCAAACUAUAUGCGGGGUCUCUUGCCCCUCUGUCGCUGUCGUCGAAAUAUACUUCAUUGAACCCUGAGUACGCCCCCUAGAACAUCACCUCCAGGACUCACCUAAUCUCCUCUAGGCCUGACUCCUCCCCUUCUUCAUAGCCUAGCUCCAGCCCUGUCUUCAAAAGAGGCUGCCCUGGCUCUCCUGAGUAGGUCAGACCUGCUUUUUAUAGCGUCUCGUGGCAUUUCCUUCUCCACUCUUUUCAGAGCCACAAAUUAACAUUUAUUUGAUGAUUAUCCACCUCCUCCACUAGAAUGUAAAUUCCCCAGGAUAAAAAUUGUGUCCUCCUCCUCCUCGUCGUCCCCCCCUUUAGUCUUCAGUUAGAGUUGAAAAAUAAUCAGCUGGAUGGCUAAAUAAUACUGGGAAGAAUCUUGAUAACAGUUUGACACAUAGGAAAGGCGAGGGCCUAAGAAAAGGAGAUUACUAAAUUCAAAGUUCCUCUUCUACAGCUGGCCCUGAAUAGAUCUAUUCCACCUGAAAAUGAUUCCUGGAUUCAGACCUCAUGAAAGAGGGAAACUUCCAGAACCAGCUCGCUCUUUAUUCCGUCUGACCAAUUCCUGGGCAUUAACAACUGUCUGGCACCUAUCUACCAGAUAUGUGAAAUUAAGAAGAGAAAGGCCAGGGCCAUUGAAGUGGCUCAGGGUAAAGGUGCUUGCCACUAAGCUGAUGACCUAAAUUCAAGGCCUGGGCCCCACAGGGGAGAAGAGAACCGGUUUCCACAGCUGUCCUCUGAUCUCCACUUGGCGUGCUAGGGCUCAGGUGUGCCCACACAACAGAGACACAGACACACCACAGAUGUGAUUUUCAGCACUGGGUGUGGUGGAUUGCAGCUACAGCCUCAGGCCCUUGGGAGGCUGGGGUAGACAGGCGACCUCAAAUUCAAGGCCAACCUAGGAUAAACUGGGAGUUGCAGACCAGCCUGGACUGCAGAGUGAGUCCCUGUCUAAAAAACAAGCAAAAAAAAAAAAAAUCCUCUACCAACAAAAAGAAUAAGAAUGCAAGAAGAGUAUGUAGGAGCCUAGAGUCUGUGACUGAAGGAGACCAGACUGGGCAGUGUAACAGACAGGAAGACAGAGACGUUUAUAUUUAGAACAUGUGCUCAAGGAGCUUAGAUUAUUUGACAAGAUGUAGAUAAACAAAAACCAAACAAAAAUUAUGAAACCUACCUGGCAGAAGCAGAUAAAGGCUUCCCAUUUCUUUGUUCACAAACAAAGCCAAAGAAUUUGUAAGACAAGCUUCUUUUUAAAAAUUUAAUACUGGGGGCGCUGGAGAGGUUCCUCAGUGGUUAAGUGUGCUGGCUGCCCUUGGAGAACCAAAGUUCAAUUUCUAGCACCUCACACCUGCCUGUAACUCCAGUUCCAGGGGAUCUGACUCCCUCAUACAAACAUACAGGCAAGCAAACCACCAAUGCACAUAAAAUACAAAGAGAUGAAUUAUUCUAAACAAACCUGAAUCCUGGGGAUUAAACCCCGGGCUAGCACACCUGCUAGGUGAGUGCCCUUGCCCUUCGAGCACUCAGUGUGAUUUUUAGAAAUCUUUUCUCCAGUGGGGUGGGGAGUGUCAAAACAGUGUCCAAGAAUGGAGUUGUGUGAGGUUCCUAAGUCCCUGUGAGAAAACAAGAAGCCAAGCCGAGAGUCUCGUGAGCUCAGUUUCUGCAAAUGACAGAUUUUUUUUUCCUUGGGUUAUGCAUAGGAGUGAGUUUGCUUCAGGUAAUUCAUUACAGCCGGCUGUGGUUGUUUGUUUCCAUGCCGCUGUGGAAAGACACGUUUCUGCUGAGUUUGGCUUGCCAGCCACAUGUGGUUUACCCUUGUGACUGCCUGCUUGACUCUUAUGACUCCUCUUAACCCUCAGAGUAAAAUUUGUCUGAUGCGCUGAAUAAAGAGUUGGCCAUUGCAUGAGACUUCCGUCCCCCUCAUUUAUGGGCUUCGUUUUCCCAGGGAUGGGCAAGGUUGAGACAGGCUCUCUUGGAGCUGAGGCUGGCCUCAACGUUACUAUGUAUCUGAGGUGGACCUUGAACUCUGAUCCUCCCGCCUCCAUCUCCCAAGUCUUGGGUUAGCAGGUGUGAGGCACCAUGCCUAGCACUCAAUGCAAUUUUUAAAAUCGAUAAAGGCCACAGACAGCUCCCAGAGAAGGGCAUUCUGCCUUCUUAUUCACGAAAAGAUCUUCAGUCCCUUUAUAAUGAAAGAGGUAGAAACAAAAUCUUCAAGGAAGCACUUUGCUCUUUUAGUGAUUGACAGUGUUCAAAAAGCUGAGCACACUGAAGGCAAGGCUGUGGGUGCAGCUAGAGUUGGGCAUUUAGAGUGGGACAGCUGAUAAGAGGGAGUCAUCUGAAGACAAUGAUAUGGGACACAACAAAAUCGAAAGUGUAGCGUUUGAUAGAGCAAAGCCAGUUCUACAAACUUGUGGUUAUACAUAUAUGCAAAUAAAUAUGUUCAUGGA